GAUGAAGAACGCAGUGAAAUGCGAUAAGUAAUGUGAAUUGCAGAAUUCAGUGAAUCAUCGAAUCUUUGAACGCACAUUGCGCCCCCUGGUAUUCCGGGGGGCAUGCCUGUCCGCGCGUCAUUACAACCCUCAAGCUCAGCUUGGUGUUGGGCCCCGCCGCCCCGGCGGGCCCUAAAGUCAGUGGCGGUGCCGUCCGGCUCCGAGCGUAGUAAUUCUUCUCGCUCUGGAGGUCCGGUCGUGUGCUCGCCAGCAACCCCCAAUUUUUUCAGGUUGACCUCGGAUCAGGUAGGGAUACCCGCUGAACUUAAGCAUAUCAAUAAGCGGAGGA
rnacentral:misc_RNA from 1 species